AGCAGCCGCGGUAAUUCCAGCUCCAAUAGCGUAUAUUAAAGUUGUUGCAGUUAAAAAGCUCGUAGUUGAAUUUCGGGGUUUAUCCGUUGGUCGGGCUUUUGGGUCUGUACUGGCGUGAUGGAUUCCUACCUUCUGAAUAACCAGCAUGUCAUUAAUUUGGUGCGUUGGGGAAGCAGGACUGUUACCUUGAAAAAAUUAGAGUGCUUAAAGCAGGCU
rnacentral:rRNA from 1 species